CGCCCACCCGGCAGGGCGGCAGCAGCUGCGGCAGCGCCUGGAUCGCCGCCUGGCUGCCCGCCACCGGCAGCGCGUGGGUCGCGCCAUAGCAGGCGC
rnacentral:tRNA from 1 species